rnacentral:rRNA from 1 species
CCUACGGGAGGCAGCAGUGAGGGAUAUUGCGCAAUGGGCGAAAGCCUGACGCAGCGACGCCGCGUGGGCGAGGAAGGCCUUCGGGUUGUAAAGCCCUUUUGGCAGGGAAGAGCAAGGACUGUACCUGCAGAACAAGUCACGGCUAACUACGUGCCAGCAGCCGCGGUAAAACGUAGGUGGCGAGCGUUGUUCGGAAUCACUGGGCUUAAAGGGCGUGUAGGCGGCAUUGCAAGUCUGGGGUGGAAUCCGGUGGCUGAACCACCGAACUGCCCUGGAAACUGCAUGGCUUGAGUCAGUGAGGGGAGGGCGGAAUUCCCGGUGUAGCAGUGAAAUGCGUAGAUAUCGGGAGGAAGGCCGGUGGCGAAGGCGGCCCUCUGGUGCUUGACUGACGCUGAGGCGCUAAAGCGUGGGGAGCAAACAGGAUUAGAUACCCCUGUAGU